rnacentral:rRNA from 1 species
AUGCUGCUCCGCCUCUGCAGCGUGCUCACCCUGGUCGUCUCGUCCGCGAACACGGCGCGCGAGGUGCUGCAGCUACAGGACCACGCCUUCGCCAACCGGCCCGCGCUCGCCGUCCCACGGCGGCUCCUCUACGGCUGCACGGACAUCGCCUUCGCUCCCCACAGCACCUACUGGCGCGGCGUGUGCAAGAUCGCCGUGCCCCACCUGCUGCCCGCUAGGGUGCGCGCCUACCGCGGCGUGCGCGAGGAGGAGGUGGCCGAGCUUGUCCGGAAGGUGGAGCAGCAGACACAUGAAGAAGGCGACGUGGUGCGGCUGAGCGAGCUCCUGAGCGGCUUCGCCAAGGGCAUGAACGGGCGGAUCGUGCUUGGGGUGCGCACCUCGGGCAGGGCCGGGUGGCGCGCCAAGGUGGACGCGCUGCUCGGGUAG